rnacentral:tRNA from 1 species
GCGCCCGUAGCUCAGCCGGAUAGAGCAGCUGCCUUCUAAGCAGCGGGUCGAAGGUUCGAGUCCUUCCGGGAGCGCCA